CGCCUACGGGAGGCAGCAGUGGGGAAUUUUUCGCAAUGGGGGCAACCCUGACGAAGCAAUGCCGCGUGGAUGAAGAAGGCCUUCGGGUUGUAAAGUCCUUUCGUGGGGGACGAAAAGGCGGGUCCUAAUACGAUCUGCUGUUGACGUGAACCCAAGAAGAAGCACCGGCUAACUCCGUGCCAGCAGCCGCGGUAAUACGGGGGGUGCAAGCGUUAAUCGGAAUCACUGGGCGUAAAGGGUGCGUAGGCGGUACGUUAGGUCUGUCGUGAAAUCCCCGGGCUCAACCUGGGAAUGGCGGUAGAAACCGGCGCACUAGAGUAUGGGAGAGGGUGGUGGAAUUCCAGGUGUAGCGGUGAAAUGCGUAGAGAUCUGGAGGAACAUCAGUGGCGAAGGCGGCCACCUGGCCCAAUACUGACGCUGAGGCACGAAAGCGUGGGGAGCAAACAGGAUUAGAUACCCUGGUAGUCCACGCCCUAAACGAUGAAUACUAGAUGUUUGGUACCGAGCGAAAUUAGUGU
rnacentral:rRNA from 1 species